UGGGGAAUAUUGCACAAUGGGCGCAAGCCUGAUGCAGCCAUGCCGCGUGUGUGAAGAAGGCCUUCGGGUUGUAAAGCACUUUCAGCGAGGAGGAAGGUGGUGAACUUAAUACGUUCAUCAAUUGACGUUACUCGCAGAAGAAGCACCGGCUAACUCCGUGCCAGCAGCCGCGGUAAUACGGAGGGUGCAAGCGUUAAUCGGAAUUACUGGGCGUAAAGCGCNCGCAGGCGGUUUGUUAAGUCAGAUGUGAAAUCCCCGGGCUCAACCUGGGAACUGCAUUUGAAACUGGCAAGCUAGAGUCUCGUAGAGGGGGGUAGAAUUCCAGGUGUAGCGGUGAAAUGCGUAGAGAUCUGGAGGAAUACCGGUGGCGAA
rnacentral:rRNA from 1 species